UACGGAGGGUGCAAACGUUGCUCGGAAUCAUUGGGCGUAAAGCGCACGCAGGCGGUCUGCUAAGUUUGGAGUGACAGUUGGUGGCUUAACUGCCAAAGUGCUUCGAAAACUGACAGACUUGAGGGCUUCAGAGGGACACGGAAUUCCGGGUGGAGUGGUGAAAUGCGUAGAGAUCCGGAGGAACACCAAAGGCGAAGGCAGUGUCCUGGGGAGUACCUGACGCUCAGGUGCGAAAGCCAGGGGAGCGAACGGG
rnacentral:rRNA from 1 species